GUCCGUUGGUCAAGGGGUUAAGACACCGCCUUUUCACGGCGGUAACACGGGUUCGAAUCCCGUACGGACAG
rnacentral:tRNA from 1 species